rnacentral:rRNA from 1 species
UACAGAGGGGGCAAGCGUUGUUCGGAAUUACUGGGCGUAAAGCGCGUGUAGGCGGCUUUGCAAGUCGGGUGUGAAAGCCCUCAGCUCAACUGAGGAAGUGCGCCCGAAACUGCAUAGCUUGAGUACCGGAGAGGAUGGUGGAAUUCCCGAAGUAGAGGUGAAAUUCGUAGAUAUCGGGAGGAACACCGGUGGCGAAGGCGACCGUCUGGACGGAUACUGACGCUGAGACGCGAAAGCGUGGGUAGCAAACAGG